GAAAAGGGCCGGAUGGACUUGAGAAAAACACCACAUGGUGGAAAAAAUGUUGCCAUCUACACCACAGGACCAGAAGGGCUUUUCACUCUGCUGAUGAUGAUUCACCAAAACAAGUCAUGAGCCGCCUUGAAAAAAGUGAGCGCGCCCAUUCGGCGAACCCGAUGACCGACGCGACGGAGAAAAAGGAAAGCGAAGUUAAACCGGACAGAAAGCCGAAGUUCUUCAAAGUCCGGCAGCUGGAAAGAACUGCAGCCUGCAAUUAGCCCGCACGCAGACCGCUGGACCCGGGCUGGACCAUCCGGGACUCCUCCGAGUCUCUUUGAUGUCAAGUCGUGGGGAAAAGUCAUCACAAAGCAGCAGUGAUGGGGAAAUGAGGCCUCGGUGAGCGUGUGGCACACUCACUAGCUGUAGUGACACUGUGUUGCGUUUCCUAAAGGUCAUCCGCCAUCUUAGAUGGAAAAAGUCAUUGAAGAAGAACUACAUUUCUGUCAUUUGUAAGCCGAAAGAAGCGCUUCUCUUGCCGCUCCACAGUCAUGUGUUGUUUGUUUCUUAAAGUGACACACACACGGGAGUAUAUAU